rnacentral:rRNA from 1 species
GACAGAGGAUGCAAGCGUUAUCCGGAAUAUUGGGCGUAAAGCGUCUGUAGGUGGCUUUUCAAGUCCGCCGUCAAAUCCCAGGGCUCAACCCUGGACAGGCGGUGGAAACUACCAAAGCUGGAGUACGGUAGGGGCAGAGGGAAUUUCCGGUUGGAGCGGUGAAAUGCAUUGAGAUCGGAAAGAACACCAACGGCGAAAGCACUCUGCUGGGCCGACACUGACACUGAGAGACGAAAGCUAGGGGAGCAAAUGGG